rnacentral:rRNA from 1 species
GACGAACCGUGCGAACGUUGUUCGGAAUCACUGGGCUUAAAGGGCGCGUAGGCGGCUUGCCAAGUCAGGGGUGAAAUCCAGCAGCUUAACUGCUGAAGUGCCUUUGAUACUGGCGAGCUCGAGGGAGGUAGGGGUAUGCGGAACUUCUGGUGGAGCGGUGAAAUGCGUUGAUAUCAGAAGGAACGCCGGUGGCGAAAGCGGCGUACUGGACCUCUUCUGACGCUGAGGCGCGAAAGCUAGGGGAGCAAACGGG